rnacentral:rRNA from 1 species
AAAUUGAAGAGUUUGAUCAUGGCUCAGAUUGAACGCUGGCGGCAGGCCUAACACAUGCAAGUCGAGCGGAAACGGCAGCAUUGAAGCUUCGGUGGAUUUGCUGGACGUCGAGCGGCGGACGGGUGAGUAACGGCUGGGAACCUGCCCUGACGAGGGGGAUAACCGUUGGAAACGACGGCUAAUACCGCAUAAUGUCUUCGGACCAAAGGUGGCCUCUACAUGUAAGCUAUCGCGUUGGGAUGGGCCCAGUUAGGAUUAGCUAGUUGGUAAGGUAAUGGCUUACCAAGGCAACGAUCCUUAGCUGGUUUGAGAGGAUGAUCAGCCACACUGGGACUGAGACACGGCCCAGACUCCUACGGGAGGCAGCAGUGGGGAAUAUUGCACAAUGGGGGAGACCCUGAUGCAGCCAUGCCGCGUGUGUGAAGAAGGCCUUCGGGUUGUAAAGCACUUUCAGCAGUGAGGAAGGUGGUGUACUUAAUACGUGCAUUGCUUGACGUUAGCUGCAGAAGAAGCACCGGCUAACUCCGUGCCAGCAGCCGCGGUAAUACGGAGGGUGCGAGCGUUAAUCGGAAUUACUGGGCGUAAAGCGCAUGCAGGCGGUUUGUUAAGUCAGAUGUGAAAGCCCGGGGCUCAACCUCGGAACCGCAUUUGAAACUGGCAGGCUAGAGUCUUGUAGAGGGGGGUAGAAUUUCAGGUGUAGCGGUGAAAUGCGUAGAGAUCUGAAGGAAUACCAGUGGCGAAGGCGGCCCCCUGGACAAAGACUGACGCUCAGAUGCGAAAGCGUGGGUAGCAAACAGGAUUAGAUACCCUGGUAGUCCACGCCGUAAACGCUGUCUACUUGGAGGUUGAGGUUUAAGACUUUGGCUUUCGGCGCUAACGCAUUAAGUAGACCGCCUGGGGAGUACGGCCGCAAGGUUAAAACUCAAAUGAAUUGACGGGGGCCCGCACAAGCGGUGGAGCAUGUGGUUUAAUUCGAUGCAACGCGAAGAACCUUACCUACUCUUGACAUCCAGAGAACUUUCCAGAGAUGGAUUGGUGCCUUCGGGAGCUCUGAGACAGGUGCUGCAUGGCUGUCGUCAGCUCGUGUUGUGAAAUGUUGGGUUAAGUCCCGCAACGAGCGCAACCCUUAUCCUUGUUUGCCAGCACAUAAUGGUGGGAACUCCAGGGAGACUGCCGGUGAUAAACCGGAGGAAGGUGGGGACGACGUCAAGUCAUCAUGGCCCUUACGAGUAGGGCUACACACGUGCUACAAUGGCAGAUACAGAGGGCAGCGAAGCUGCGAAGUGGAGCGAAUCCCUUAAAGUCUGUCGUAGUCCGGAUUGGAGUCUGCAACUCGACUCCAUGAAGUCGGAAUCGCUAGUAAUCGUGGAUCAGAAUGCCACGGUGAAUACGUUCCCGGGCCUUGUACACACCGCCCGUCACACCAUGGGAGUGGGCUGCACCAGAAGUAGAUAGCUUAACCUUCGGGAGGGCGUUUACCACGGUGUGGUUCAUGACUGGGGUGAAGUCGUAACAAGGUAGCCCUAGGGGAACCUGGGGCUGGAUCACCUCCUUA